UACGUAGGGUGCGAGCGUUGUCCGGAAUUAUUGGGCGUAAAGAGCUCGUAGGCGGUCUGUCGCGUCGGUCGUGAAAACUUGGGGCUUAACCCUGAGCUUGCGGUCGAUACGGGCAUGACUGGAGUUCGGCAGGGGAGACUGGAAUUCCUGGUGUAGCGGUGAAAUGCGCAGAUAUCAGGAGGAACACCGAUGGCGAAGGCAAUCCCCUGGGCCCUGUACUGACGCUCAUGCACGAAAAGCGUGGGGGAGCAAACAGG
rnacentral:rRNA from 1 species